rnacentral:sRNA from 1 species
GUCAGGCGUGGUGGUGCACACCUGUAAUCCCAGGGGCGCAGGAGGCUGAGGCAGGAGGAUUGCAAGUUUGAGGUCAGCCUCAGCAACACUUAGUGAGGCCCUAAGCAACUUAGCAAGACACAGUCUCAA